CCUACGGGAGGCAGCAGUGGGGAAUUUUGGACAAUGGGCGCAAGCCUGAUCCAGCAAUGCCGCGUGCAGGAUGAAGGCCUUCGGGUUGUAAACUGCUUUUGUACGGAACGAAACGGCGAGCUCUAAUAAAGUUCGCUAAUGACGGUACCGUAAGAAUAAGCACCGGCUAACUACGUGCCAGCAGCCGCGGUAAUACGUAGGGUGCAAGCGUUAAUCGGAAUUACUGGGCGUAAAGCGUGCGCAGGCGGUGAUGUAAGACAGAUGUGAAAUCCCCGGGCUCAACCUGGGACCUGCAUUUGUGACUGCAUCGCUAGAGUACGGUAGAGGGGGAUGGAAUUCCGCGUGUAGCAGUGAAAUGCGUAGAUAUGCGGAGGAACACCGAUGGCGAAGGCAAUCCCCUGGACCUGUACUGACGCUCAUGCACGAAAGCGUGGGGAGCAAACAGGAUUAGAUACCCUGGUAGUCCACGCCCUAAACGAUGUCAACUGGUUGUUGGGUCUUCACUGACUCAGUAACGAAGCUAACGCGUGAAGUUGACCGCCUGGGGAGUACGGCCGCAAGGUUGAAACUUAAAUGAAAUUGACGG
rnacentral:rRNA from 1 species